UACGAAGGGUGCAAGCGUUGUUCGGAUUUAUUGGGCGUAAAGCGCGCGCAGGCGGAUCAGCAAGUCAGAUGUGAAAUCUCGGAGCUCAACUCCGAAACUGCGUCUGAAACUACUAGUCUAGAAUGUCGGAGGGGGCAGGGGAAUUUCACGUGUAGGGGUAAAAUCCGUAGAGAUGUGAAGGAACACCAGGGGCGAAGGCGCCUGCCUGGACGACUAUUGACGCUGAGGCGCGAAAGCGUGGGGAGCAAACAGG
rnacentral:rRNA from 1 species